rnacentral:snRNA from 1 species
GUGCUUAUUUUGGCAGCAUAUAUACUACAAUCAUAACAAUACAGGGAGGAAUAGCAUGGCCCCUGUGAAAUUGUGAAGUGUUCCAUAUGCUC